AAGGUUUUAAGUUAAUUAAACUAUUAGCCUUCAAAGCUGUAAAUAAAGAUAUUUCUUUAAGCCUUA
rnacentral:tRNA from 1 species